GGAAGGUGCAAUUGACCGUUUGGUUAACAUAUACAAAAAUGUGGUUCACAAAACUGGGGGUUACCUUACAGAAAGUGGUUAUGUCAAUCUGCAAAGAGUACAGAUGAUCAUGUUAGCAGUUGGUGAAGUUGAGGAUAGCAUUUUUAAAAAGAGAAAGGAUGAUGAGGACAGUUUUAGAAGACGACAGAAAGAAAAGAGAAAGAGAAUGAAGAGAGAUCAACCAGCUUUCACUCCUGGUGGAAUAUUAACCCCUCAUGCCUUGGGUUCAAGAAAUUCACCAGGUUCUCAAGUAGCCAAUAAUCCGAGAC